UACGUAGGGGGCAAGCGGUGUCCGGAUUUAUUGGGCGUAAAGCGCUCGCAGGUGGUUCGUUGCGUCGUGCGUGAAAGACCCCGGCUCAACUGGGGAGGGUCGUGCGAUACGGGCGAACUGGAGGCCAGUAGGGGGAUGCGGAAUUCCGGGUGUAGUGGUGGAAUGCGUAGAGAUCCGGAGGAACACCAGCGGCGAAGGCGGCAUCCUGGACUGGUCCUGACACUCAUGAGCGAAAGCGUGGGGAGCGAUCCGG
rnacentral:rRNA from 1 species